UACGUAGGGGCCGAGCGUUGUCCGGAAUUACUGGGCGUAAAGGGCGCGUAGGCGGCACUGUUAGUCAGGCGUGAAAGUCCUGGGCUCAACCUGGGAACUGCGCUUGAUACGGCAGAGCUAGAGGAUGGAAGAGGGUCGCGGAAUUCCCAGUGUAGAGGUGAAAUUCGUAGAUAUUGGGAAGAACACCGGUGGCGAAGGCGGCGACCUGGUCCAUUACUGACGCUGAGGCGCGACAGCGUGGGGAGCAAACAGG
rnacentral:rRNA from 1 species